rnacentral:lncRNA from 1 species
UGGCUUCCGAGAGCUCCGCCCGCUCUUCCCACGCUCCGCGCCCGCGCCGCGCCGCGCCGCACCGCGCCACCAUGCGGCCAAGCCUGGCGCUGCGCCUGCUGGGAACGCGGUCGCCUCCGCCCCUCCAUGCGAAAUGCGGCAGAGGAUCUGAUCUGAGCAGCCGGCCAACCACAUUCUCGCCGGCAACAGGCCCGCCCUAACCUGAGGGCGGCUCCAGAACUGUCCUUUUCUUCACUGGCCCUGGCGCCGCUGAUCUUCCAAAGCUUCUCUCUCAUGACACCUCUUGGAAGUUUUCCGACUUAGACCCGUAGAGAAUUGGAGAACUAUGGACCCUCUCUCUAGAAAAAUGCUCACCCACACAGAAGCAGAGUUUUGCAUGGUAUUGCAGGGCGUUUUGAAACUUCUCAAGUGUCAAGACCGCCAACUUCAGACCUCUACAGGUGCCUGCGGGAGUUUAUAAAUAUUCAAAGUGAAGGAACUGAGGGGAAUAAGAAGCCCAGCAAGAUACCCAGAGGAAACUGUACCCUCCUUCUCAUUGGUUGCUCCAACAGCAAUAUAUAUUCUCCCAGGUAUAACUCCAUGGCUGGAAAACAGACUCCUAAAGGAUGUCUGUUUUGCAAGAGGCAAAGGACAGAGGAGAUCUUAGAUGCUUGAAAAGCACAGGAGGAUUCUGAGAAGUGUGGACAGACAGAGUUAUGAUGCUGCCAGAGGAGUAACACCAUGCCAGGCAUUACUGGCCAAUGAAGACCCACCUGACAGCAAUCCCUGGAUGCUCUGGAAAAGAAAUUGGGCCAUACCUCCUAGACUGCACUGGAUCCAACUUACUCCAUUUCAACUGACACUCCAACUAGAGCUUCGAGUCCUGACUUCAAUCAAGUUGAGGAUUUCAACCUAGAUCUUCAGUCAAACAAAUCCCGUCUAACAUGGACUGGAUAUAAUCCGUUGGAGACUUUCACUAUACUAACAUUUUCUUCCCAUAGGACCCCACAAGGCUACCAUCGUCCCAUUUCAGCAGGAAGUAAAUUGUAGGAUGCUACACCCCUGUUCCCCAUUAUUGUCUAUUAGGGUAGUGUAAGCCUAGUUAGGAAUAACUUUCCUAUUGUUUAGGGUUGGAAUUGGAAGGAGGUGUUCAAGUUCAGAUGACUUUAGGGUUUAGCUGAAAUAGACAUAGUUAGGAUGUGCAAUAACAGAUUAUUGUAUCUUCUUGUAUUUCACCUUUAUGAUUGUUAAUUUUGGAUAUUUUACACUAUUAAGUUUUAAUCCCCUUUUAGACUAAAAGGGGAAUUAUAGGGCGACACCGUAGCCACACUUCCUAAGGGCUGGCUACAGGUGUGCCUGACCACGCCUAUCAAGGCAUGGUCAAGGUGAGGUCAGGGUGACGUGGGAGGGCUUCUUAAGCAACCACAAGCCCACGGAACCAGCUCGUCCCCUUCGGCUGCCCCUUCUCUCUGGCCUCCCUGCCUUGCUGCCCCUGGGUACACUCUGGCUUGCAUUUAACUGGUAUUUAUCUGAAUAAAGGUAUCUUGAAUCUACAAGCAUUCUCCUUCAAUGUUUGUGUGUGACUGUAUGAAU